AGUUUGUGUUUCAUUUGAAAACUAAACCAAACAUAGUGAGAAGCAAUAUAUCAUCUUUCUUUCAAAUUCAAACAAACAUCAAUGGCGGACAAGGAUAGAAGAAGCAAAUCCAUGGAAUCGAGAAGGAGAAAGAGAACCAGUAGCGAAGAACAUUCAUAUGCUGUUGCUGCUUCUUCUCCAUGGGACAUUGUGGCUCCUUCUCCAGUUCCAAUUAGGGCAUCGGUAAGUUCUUCAACUUCUAAGUAUCCUGCAAAAAAUCACAAUUUUAAUGCUAAAAGUAAUUUUAUAUCUGAAAUAGGUAGUAGAAUAGAUUAUUCACGAACUAGAAAAAAAAUUGUCGGUAAAAACUGGGAGGAUCAUCAACUUUUGAGAUCUGGAGGUUUUAGAGGUAACAAGGUGGAGACGGAGUUUGAUGAUGAUGAAGAGGAACAAAAGGUGAUUCUUCAUGUUCAUGAUAUAAAGCUGCCUCCUUUUUUGGAUGGGAGAGUUGUUUUCACUGAGCAAGCUGAGCUGAUAUUGCCAAUUAAGGAUGCAAUGUCCGAUAUGGCAGUAAUUUCACGAAAAGGGUCAGCUCUUGUUAGGGAAAUACAUGAAAAACAAAAGAGGGAUAAGUCUAGGCAAAGAUUUUGGGAGCUAGCUGGGUCGAAACUCGGAGAUAUUCUAGGUGUGGAGAAGAGUGUUGAUGAGACUGAUGCAGAUACUGUUGUAGUGGGUGAGGAUGGUGAGGUUGAUUUUAAGGGAAAAGCCAGAUUCUCACAGCAUUUAUCUGUCGGUGAUUUUACAAAAUCGAAAACAAUUUCACAGCAACGACAGAAUUUGCCCAUAUUCUCUGUGCAAGAUGAGUUAUUGCAAGUGGUUCGUGAAAAUCAGGUGGUGGUUAUUAUAGGAGAAACUGGUUCUGGAAAAACAACACAGCUAACUCAGUACUUCUAUGAAUAUGGUUAUACAGCUAAUGGGAUCAUAGGUUGCACCCAACCUAGACGUGUGGCAGCGAUGAGUGUUGCCAAAAGAGUUAGUGAGGAAAUGGAAAGUGAGCUCGGGGAUAAAGUUGGAUAUGCUAUUCGUUUCGAAGAUGCCACUGGGCCAAGUACUGUUAUCAAGUACAUGACCGAUGGUGUGCUCUUAAGGGAAACUCUUAAGGAUCCUGAUCUUGAGAAAUAUAGUAUGAUUUUAAUGGAUGAAGCCCAUGAGAGAUCACUUGACACUGAUGUCCUUUUUGGCAUUCUGAAGAAAGUUGUAGCUAGGCGGCGUGAUUUUAAGCUUAUUGUCACUUCUGCCACUCUCAAUGGAGAGAAGUUCUCGAACUUCUUUGGGGGUGUACCAAUAUUUAACAUACCUGGAAGGACUUUUCGAGUUCAAAUAUGUCAUAGUAAAACCCCGUGUGAAGACUAUGUUGAAGCUGCAGUUAAGCAAGCCAUGACCAUCCAUAUUGCUGGUGCACCUGGUGAUAUACUCAUCUUCUUAACUGGUCAGGAUGAGAUUGAAGCAACCUGUUAUGCACUUUCAGAGCGGAUGGAACAACUUAUCUCAUCAACAAAGCAACCAGUACCCAAGUUGUUAAUUCUUCCUAUAUACUCUCAACUGCCUGCUGAUCUGCAAGCAAAAAUUUUCCAUAAAGCUGAAGAUGGGGCUCGCAAAUGCAUUGUUGCUACUAAUAUCGCUGAGACGUCCUUGACCAUUGAUGGAAUUUUCUAUGUCAUUGAUACAGGCUAUGGUAAAAUGAAGGUGUACAAUCCCCAUAUGGGUAUGGAUGCUCUGCAAGUGUUCCCCAUUAGUCGAGCUUCUGCAGACCAACGUGCUGGUCGAGCUGGUAGAACUGGCCCAGGAACUUGUUACCGACUUUAUACAGAGAGUGCUUAUGAGAAUGAAAUGCUGCAAAGCCCCGUGCCAGAGAUUCAACGGACAAAUCUUGGGAAUGUGGUUUUGCUGCUCAAGUCUCUCAAAAUUCAGAACUUGUUGGAUUUUGAUUUUAUGGAUCCACCUCCUCAAGAUAACAUCCUUAACUCCAUGUAUCAGUUGUGGUUACUAGGUGCACUGAAUGAUGUUGGUGAUUUAACGGACCUUGGACGAAAAAUGGUGAAGUUCCCGUUGGACCCUCCCCUUGCCAAAUUGCUCCUGAUGGGGGAACAACUAGAAUGCUUAAACGAGGUUCUGACAAUUGUUUCUAUGCUUUCAGUGCCUUCAGUUUUCUUUCGACCUAAGGAUAGGGAAGCGGAAAGUGAUGCUGCUAGGGAAAAGUUUUUUGUGCCAGAAUCUGAUCACCUUACAUUGCUUAAUGUUUACCAACAAUGGAAAGCUAAUGAAUACAGAGGAGACUGGUGUAAUGACCAUUUUUUACAGGUCAAAGGUCUGUACAAGGCUAGGGAGAUAAGAUCCCAAUUGUUGGACAUCCUCAACACGCUCAAAAUUCCACUCACAUACUGUGGUCCUGAUUGGGAUGUUGUGCGGAAAACAAUCUGUUCCACAUACUUCCAUAAUGCAGCUAUGCUGAAGGGGAUUGAGGAAUAUGUUAAUUGCAGGAAUAAAAUGCCCUAUAACCUGCAUCCCACAAGUGCUCUCUAUGGAUUGGGUUACACUCCUGAUUACGUGGUUUAUCAUGAGGCAAUCUUGACGACAAAGGAGUACAUGCAGUGUGUGACAGCUGUGGAGCCUCAUUGGUUAGCAGAGUUGGGGCCAAUGUUUUUCUCCGUGGGAGCAAAUGUUGAUGUACACACUGAACGAGGCAUCGAGGAACGUCAUGGCAUCGAUGAUAAAGUUGAUGCUCUGAAGAGCAUAAUCAAGAUCAGCGUCAGUAGUUCAAUUAGGUAUCACAUGGUGGUCGAGGGCUCAUUCAACAGUCAAUAGAACUUAAUAUACAGUAAACAUGAUACUGUCUCUUCCAUGCUUGGACGAUUUGUUGGUUCUCGAGUCAAGCAUCUUAAGCUUAGCUACUGCAGCAGAAAGUAGAAUUUCUCCACUUUCCUCUACAAUUACAGCAUCUUUGCCGGUGACUAAUUCCAACAGUACAACUCCAAAGGCAUAAAUGUCCAUCUUUGAAGUCACUGUCCCUCUCUCAGCGUACUCAGGAGCCAUGUAUCCUGUUGUCCCCACAAGCUACCAACUCCUGCCUGAUGUAUCCGUUUCUUUAGCAACACUGAAGUUUGUAAUCUUUGCUCGUAUGUUGUUGUCGAGGAGAAUGUUUCUACUGUUGAUGUUCUUGUGGAUGUAGCCUGGUUUGGUAAAGCUGUGAAGAUAAUGAAGUCCAUUAGCUACAUCCAACGCAAUCUGAAUCCUAUUUUUCCAGCUGAUGGUAUCUUGACACUUGGUUCUGGUCAGCCAUUCCCUGAGAGAGCCAUUUUUCAUGUAUUCAAAGACAAGAAAGAAGCAACCUUUAUGUUCACAAUAGCCACAAAGCUUUAUUAGAUUGAAGUGAUUGAUCUUAUGUAGUAUGUUCACUUCUCUAGAUACAUCCGUGAUCGCCAUUUUGACUGCUAAGAUUUCCCCUUUAAACCCUCCCCAGUAUACAGAUCCCUUUAUCCAGUUCUUGGAGUCAAAGUUUCGCGUAGCGUGCUUCAAUUCUUUGAACUUAAAAACCUUAGGGACAUGAUCUAUGUUCGCGAUCUCCACGAGGAUAUCUUCAUGACUUGAAGACCUCCUCGGAAAUUUGCUAUCUCUUUUCUUAAACAAAGCAAGAAGGAUGACCCAAGAAACCACAAAGCCUGUUGCAACUCCACUACCUAUGUAAAGAUUUCUCUUUGAUUUUCCCUUUGAAGCAUUAGCUGCAGAUGGAGGUGAAAACGACCUAAUAGGUUUUCUAUAAUUCUCAUUUCCGGUAUCUAAAUUUGAUGGUUCAGAAGGCAGGGGAAUUAGAAUGGUUGUAAAAGGAUACAAAACAGAAUUUUCAUCCAAGAAUCCAUUUGCUUCGGUUAUGUUCCUUACAUUAACGUUAAAUCUUUUGCAGACUGUAAGGAUGUCAUCGCCAACGUUUAUUGAAUAAGUCAUCAAAUACUUUGAGCCUUUUGCAGCUUGUUUUGCUGUUGGACAGGCACACCUGAGAGGAACUUGCAACUCAAGACCAGGUCUCAAACUAAACUCAUCGUAUUCAUUUUGACAUACUAAUGCAUUACAGGUUGAUAAUCCUUGAUAAGUAUUAUUUGCUAUCACAAAGUAUGUUUCAAUAACAGCUGAUAUAUAGUACAUGGUUUUGGCUUGAUAAUACAAACCUGAACAAGAGCAGUCCACUGGAAUUAUAACCUCCUUUUCUGGUGCGAACACUGUAAGCCUCGUGACAUUGUUGAUACGUGCAAUCUCAGACAUGUUUGAAGACAUGAGAGCAGCAAUUCCAGACUUCAUUUGAUCCAGAAAUUUGUUUUAAGGAAUAUGUCAUCCUAUCAGAAGACUACAAAGUCAAGUGGGAUUUUUAUUAAAGAAAUCAAUGUAGAUGUGACAAUAAUUCUUGACUAGACUAUGUAAAUAUGAGUCAUUCUAUUAUCAAGAAUUGUUAUUAUUCUUAUGUUCCCAUUCAAGGGGCAUCAAGAGAAUGAAAACAGCAACACGACAACAAUAUUCUCGGUGUAUUUUCACAAGUAGGGAUCGGAAAGGAUAGAAUAUACGCAAUACAGAUCUUACCCCUACGUCAUGGAGAUAGAGAUGAUGUUUUCGAAAGAUCAUUAAACAUAAGAAGAAAUGAGUUUAGAAAUUUUGAUUUAGUAGACGUUUAAUCUACUAUGUGUGUCUCGAAAUGGAGCGAUGUCACAAUUCCACAACUCGACUAAUACAACAUCAUACACAAGGAAAUCACUCAAUUGAUACUUCUAAUUAUUUUCAAAGGAGAUAUUUUACAUCGAA